AUUGAACGCUGGCGGCAUGCUUUACACAUGCAAGUCGAACGGUAACAGGCCGCAAGGUGCUGACGAGUGGCGAACGGGUGCGUAAUGCAUCGGAACGUGCCCAGUCGUGGGGGAUAACUACUCGAAAGAGUAGCUAAUACCGCAUACGAUCUAUGGAUGAAAGCGGGGGACCGUAAGGCCUCGCGCGAUUGUAGCGGCCGAUGUCAGAUUAGGUAGUUGGUGGGGUAAUGGCUCACCAAGCCAACGAUCUGUAGCUGGUCUGAGAGGACGACCAGCCACACUGGGACUGAGACACGGCCCAGACUCCUACGGGAGGCAGCAGUGGGGAAUUUUGGACAAUGGGCGCAAGCCUGAUCCAGCAAUGCCGCGUGCAGGAAGAAGGCCUUCGGGUUGUAAACUGCUUUUGUACGGAACGAAACGGCUCUGGUUAAUACCCGGGGCUAAUGACGGUACCGUAAGAAUAAGCACCGGCUAACUACGUG
rnacentral:rRNA from 1 species